GAUUUUCAUCCUUUCGUAUCCAAGAUUACAUGCAUGGAUCUAGAGGUUUUUUCAAGCUUUAGGGAAGUGUCAUGAUUUCAUUACCUUGUUGGAUGGUCUAAUAAUCAGGUUAGUUCAACGAGCAGGGUCUAAAAUUCAUCCUUUAAUGCUGGAAUGUUGACUAUGUAUAUAUUGUAUAGUUCUUCACCUUUCUAGUUUUGUGUUUGUUAUCCUGCGAUUUCUUAGCAACUGCUGCUCAAGAUGGUGUUAAACUUUGGGACUUGUGCAAAUUGAAGAACUUUAGAACUUUCACUUCUUACGAUGAGAAUACACAAACUCAAUCAGGUGAUGAAGACAUGAGUUCAGAAGUCGAGCAAUAACUUUUGAAGUCAUAAAGCAAGCUGUUAAGUUCGUGAUUAUUUUUCAAUGACUAAUAGAUUAAAAUUUGUAUUUUUCAUUAUGGAUGUACAUACUUUUGCUAAAAGGUUGUGUAAACAAUAUAGUGACUUUAUCUUAGUCGUCUAGUGUCACCAAUAAGAUGUUAUCCAAAUUUUAUACAUAAUUAUAUGUAUUAAACCAUGAUAUUAUUGAAUAUAUUAUUUUUGGAA